CAGCAAAACUACGUCAGGAAUGGAAGUUUGCUAAACCAGAAAACUGGAAGGAGCUCAUACAACUGGUGGUUGCAGCAGAUGUGAGCGCUGUGCAAGCGUCUCAAACCAGUUCAGAUGUUGCUGUUUCCUCAACUUGCAGAAACUAUGGCUGCAUAUGGGCUAACAGUUCACCCCAGGAAGGCAACAAGCCACAGCUUACCCACCUACCCACAGCCAGGACAGCCAUAAGGAGUUUCCUCCCAUGGUACAUUGUGGGCAGACAUCAACACUGAAGGUGGUCACCUGGAC
rnacentral:lncRNA from 1 species